AGAGUUUGAUCAUGGCUCAGGAUGAACGCUGGCGGCGUGGAUAAGGCAUGCAAGUCGAGUGGGUUUAGACCCACGGCAAACGAGGUAGUAACACGUAGGUACGCACCCGAGAGUCAGGAAUAAUUCCGCGAAAGCGGGGCUAAUACUUGAUAAUCUCUACGGAGCAAAAAUUUAUUGCUCUCGGGGCGGCCUGCGGGAUAUCAGCUAGUUGGUAGGGUAAUGGCCUACCAAGGCGAUGACGUCUAGGGGAGCUGAGAGGCUGACCCCCACCGAUGGAACUGAGAUACGGUCCAUACACCUACGGGUGGCCGCAGUCGAGAAUCUUCCGCAAUGGACGAAAGUCUGACGGAGCGACGCCGCGUGAAGGAUGAAGCGUUUCGGCGCGUAAACUUCUUUUGUGAGGGAGAAAGUAAUUGAUAGUACCUCAAGAAUAAGGGGCUUCAAACUCUGUGCCAGCAGAAGCGGUAAUACAGAGGCCCCAAGCGUUAUCCGGAAUUACUGGGCGUAAAGGGUGUGUAGGUGGUCUUGUUAGUCUCCUGUAAAAUUCUUCGGCUUAACCGGGGGCGCGCGGGAGAAACGGCAAGACUUGAGGAUGCGAGGGGUGCAUGGAACUCAUGGAGUAGGGGUGAAAUCCGUUGAUAUCAUGGGGAACACCAAAAGCGAAGGCAGUGCACUGGCGCAUUUCUGACACUCAAACACGAAAGCGUGGGUAGCGAACGGGAUUAGAUACCCCGGUAGUCCACGCCCUAAACGAU
rnacentral:rRNA from 1 species